CACUGAUUUUAACAAUGAAGCGAGUGGCGAACUGGUGAGUAACACGUGGGAAAUCUGCCCAGAAGCAGGGGAUAACACUUGGAAACAGGUGCUAAUACCGUAUAACAACAAAAUCCGCAUGGAUUUUGUUUGAAAGGUGGCUUCGGCUAUCACUUCUGGAUGAUCCCGCGGCGUAUUAGUUAGUUGGUGAGGUAAAGGCCCACCAAGACGAUGAUACGUAGCCGACCUGAGAGGGUAAUCGGCCACAUUGGGACUGAGACACGGCCCAAACUCCUACGGGAGGCAGCAGUAGGGAAUCUUCCACAAUGGACGAAAGUCUGAUGGAGCAAUGCCGCGUGAGUGAAGAAGGGUUUCGGCUCGUAAAACUCUGUUGUUAAAGAAGAACACCUUUGAGAGUAACUGUUCAAGGGUUGACGGUAUUUUAACCAGAAAGCCACGGUUAUACUACGUGCCAGCAGCCGCGGUUAUACGUAUGUGGCAAGCGUUGUCCGGAUUUAUUGGGCGUAAAGCGAGCGCAGGCGGUUUUUUAAGUCUGAUGUGAAAGCCUUCGGCUUAACCGGAGAAAUGCAUCGGAAACUGGGAGACUUGAGUGCAGAAGAGGACUGUGGAACUCCAUGUGUAGCGGUGGAAUGCGUAGAUUUAUUGGAAGAACACCCAGUGGCGAAAGGCGGCUGUCUAGUCUGAAACUGACGCUGAGGCUCGAAAGAUUGGGUAGCGAACAGGAUUAGA
rnacentral:rRNA from 2 species